GCGGGGCUGCCCGGCUCGUCAGGCGAAUUCAUCCCCUGGGCCGAUAAGCACUUCCUCGGGAGCUGGCUCUGAUGUGAUCCUGGUCAUGUUACCUGGCGCCCACCUGCACUCGCAGGUCCUGGAGGUUGUAAAGACCAACGGUCAGGGUGGCUCCGUC
rnacentral:other from 1 species